UGAUGGUGGACCUAAGGCCUCCACAAGUAGCAAUGGGAGGAAAUCGAAGCUGUGACUUGGUCCCUAAGGGAGAAGGAAAGCCACAGCAAACUCUAAAUAAACAGCUUCCACAGCCCGAGAUUUCUCCCAGACCCCCUGAUGAAAGGAGCCGGGUUGGAACAGAGGCUGGGAGGAGCCCAGUUAAUAUAUGACAGUCAUUAUCAGAGGGAUUUUGGUGCUGCUGGAAAGCUAUAGCGGACAACACUCAGAAAAUGGACAGAAGGAAAAAUUAGUAGCCUGAAGUGGGCCUAGCUCUUCCUCUUCUCUGUUGGUGCAUCCAUACAUUCCUGGUGACAUCUUCUCCUAUGGAAACACCUUCAGUCAUAGUCUAGAACAGGGGUUCUUAACCCGGGGUCCAAGACCUCCUUAAGGGGCCCACGGGUGGGCUUCAGGGGAGUCUAUGAACUUGGAUGGGAAAAAAUACAUCUUUAUUUCAAAAUAAUAGGUUUCCUCCAUAAUCCUAUCUAUUUUAUUUUAUUGGGGGGGGGGCAGGCAGCAGGCUGGCAACAAGCAUUUAUUUUGUUAAAUAAUAAAAACUAUUGAUUUUUACA
rnacentral:lncRNA from 1 species